rnacentral:rRNA from 1 species
AUUGAACGCUGGCGGCAGGCCUAACACAUGCAAGUCGAGCGGCAGCGGAAAGUAGCUUGCUACUUUGCCGGCGAGCGGCGGACGGGUGAGUAAUGUCUGGGAAACUGCCUGAUGGAGGGGGAUAACUACUGGAAACGGUAGCUAAUACCGCAUGACCUCGAAAGAGCAAAGUGGGGGAUCUUCGGACCUCACGCCAUCGGACGUGCCCAGAUGGGAUUAGCUAGUAGGUGAGGUAAUGGCUCACCUAGGCGACGAUCCCUAGCUGGUCUGAGAGGAUGACCAGCCACACUGGAACUGAGACACGGUCCAGACUCCUACGGGAGGCAGCAGUGGGGAAUAUUGCACAAUGGGCGCAAGCCUGAUGCAGCCAUGCCGCGUGUGUGAAGAAGGCCUUAGGGUUGUAAAGCACUUUCAGCGAGGAGGAAGGCACCAUACUUAAUACGUGUGGUGAUUGACGUUACUCGCAGAAGAAGCACCGGCUAACUCCGUGCCAGCAGCCGCGGUAAUACGGAGGGUGCAAGCGUUAAUCGGAAUUACUGGGCGUAAAGCGCACGCAGGCGGUUUGUUAAGUCAGAUGUGAAAUCCCCGCGCUUAGCGUGGGAACUGCAUUUGAAACUGGCAAGCUAGAGUCUUGUAGAGGGGGGUAGAAUUCCAGGUGUAGCGGUGAAAUGCGUAGAGAUCUGGAGGAAUACCGGUGGCGAAGGCGGCCCCCUGGACAAAGACUGACGCUCAGGUGCGAAAGCGUGGGGAGCAAACAGG